CGGGAUAUAGCGCAGCCCGGUAGCGCACCACCUUGGGGUGGUGGGGGUCGCAGGUUCAAAUCCUGCUAUUCCGA
rnacentral:tRNA from 1 species